AUAAAUGUUUGUUGCUGGAAUGUGCAACUUUUUCAGCCAUCUGUAAACAGAGAGAAUAAGCAUGCGUAUUUCACUUUACACAUAAUCUGCCAUUAUUCCAAUGUAGCAUAUUCACAUCUAGUUUAUCGUUGUACCAGCACUCUUCUAACUAAAGCUACGAGAAACCAUUUCUCAUCAUCGGUAUAAAUCAUGCCAUCUAUGAUACAGUGAGCUGCUGUUGAAUGCAUCUAAUACAACAUGACUCUCUACAAUGAGGACUUGCAACUGUAAGAUUUCAUUUAACUAACGUUAUGAUUACAAUCAGAGCCGUUAAGACUUUCUCUAUGUACACAAUAGGCUUUUUGUGUACAUAGAGAAAUUCUUAGAUCUUUUGAGUUCAGCUCAUGAUGAAUUCGGUGGAAAAAACAGUGUUGCGCUGAUAAUUUUGUUCAGUGUUCGUACAUAGACAUUAAACAAGAAAACAUCUCUCGUUGUGUUGUUUUUUGGAGUUUUGUCAUCACUGUAGGUUGGCAGGAGUCGAUGACUACAAGAUGCCGCUGCUCCCAGCCAAGAAAUAGUCCUGCACACAUCCUCCAGUACAUCCACAAUGCAUCAAUUAACACCUCCUGACAGGUGGAUUAUGUUGCCUUUGGACAGAACCAGCCUAGACAUUUCUUCAGUUUCACCUAUACAAGAAAAGUGUUGUUGAGCGUCUGCCAGACGUCUGCCAGCACAAGUGGUGUGUUUGCCGCCCACCACCUGUCGUCACCACUUCCAGUCUGUUAAAGACUGCUCACUUGUUGCAAAGCGUAUUCUUGCUGCUGGAGAAAUUAUGCCGGGAACAAAGAAGAGACACAGGAGGUGAAGGUGAAGGCUGGAGAGGACGCUACUCUUUAGCAUUGUCACAGAGUCACAGAGGUGCUGCCAUUGAAGUGUUGUACCGUCUUCUUCUUCAGAGACAACCGUUUACAUGAAAACUACCAGCAUGAAUCUUAUCUGGUCCAGCGGAGCUGAGAAAUCCAGAGAUGAAGGACGGAGACGUUUUUGUGAUUCUGAAGAACAUCAACAUCAACGACACUGGAACAUAUGAGUGUUGGAUUAGACAGGGAAACGAAAAAGGCAAAUGAAACCCAUCUGCACCAUAAGUCUGACAGUGAUGACAGUGUUCACCCUGCUGCCUUCUGGGAAGAGAUAUAGAAGUUUCUGCUUCCACACCACCAGACUGCAGAGCAGCUU